rnacentral:rRNA from 1 species
UGUCACAAGAAAUUAUUUGUGAUUAAGCCUGCCCAGUGAUAAUUUUAACGGCCGCGGUAUCCUGACCGUGCAAAGGUAGCAUAAUCAUUUGCCUAUUAAUUGUAGGCUAGUAUGAAAGGAUAAACGAGAAUAUAGCUGUCUCCUUUAAGUAACUAAAAAUUUAUAUUCAAGUGAAGAAGCUUGAGUAAAACCGCAGGACAAGAAGACCCUAUAGAGCUUUACUUUACAUUUUAAUAUUUUAUAAAAGAUAAGUUCGGUUGGGGCGACCCAGGAAUACUAAACAUCCUGUAUUAAAAGACUAAUUAGUCACCUAAAUGAUCCUGUAUUUCAGAUCAAUAAAUCAAGCUACCUUAGGGAUAACAGGCUAAUCCUUCUUGAGAGUUCAUAUUGACAGAAGGGGUUGGCACCUCGAUGUUGGCUUAGGAUUUCUCUUCGAUGCAGCAAUCGUAUCAGAUGGUUUGUUCAACCAUUAAUAUCCU